rnacentral:rRNA from 1 species
GACAGAGGGUGCAAACGUUGCUCGGAAUUACUGGGCGUAAAGGGCGUGUAGGCGGGAAGGUAAGUCGGGCGUGAAAUCCCCAAGCUCAACUUGGGAACUGCACUCGAAACUACCUUUCUUGAGUGCCGGAGAGGAAAGCGGAAUUCCUGGUGUAGAGGUGAAAUUCGUAGAUAUCAGGAGGAACACCAGUGGCGAAGGUGGCUUUCUGGACGGUGACUGACGCUGAGACGCGAAAGCGUGGGGAGCAAACAGG